GAUGAACGCUGGCGGCGCGCCUAACACAUGCAAGUCGAACGAUUAAAGCACCUUCGGGUGUGUAUAAAGUGGCGAACGGCUGAGUAACACGUGGGCAACCUGCCCCUCUCAUUGGGAUAGCCACGGGAAACCGUGGAUAAUACCGAAUACUUCGGGACUUCCGCAUGGAAGACUCGAGAAAGCUCCGGCGGAGAGGGAUGGGCCCGCGGCCUGUUAGCUUGUUGGGGGGGUAAUGGCCUACCAAGGCAAUGAUGGGUAGCUGGGUUGAGAGACCGACCAGCCAGAUUGGGACUGAGACACGGCCCAGACUCCUACGGGAGGCAGCAGUGGGGAAUCUUGCACAAUGGGCGAAAGCCUGAUGCAGCGACGCCGCGUGCGGGAUGAAGGCCUUCGGGUUGUAAACCGCUUUCAGCAGGGACGAGGCGAAAGUGACGGUACCUGCAGAAGAAGCCCCGGCUAACUACGU
rnacentral:rRNA from 1 species